CAGUAGCCGCGGUAAUACAGAGGGUGCGAGCGUUAAUCGGAUUUACUGGGCGUAAAGCGUGCGUAGGCGGCUAAUUGAGUCGGAUGUGAAAUCCCCGAGCUUAACUUGGGAAUUGCAUUCGAUACUGGUUAGCUAGAGUGUGGGAGAGGAUGGUAGAAUUCCAGGUGUAGCGUUGAAAUGCGUAGAGAUCUGGAGGAAUACCGAUGGCGAAGGCAGCCAUCUGGCCUAACACUGACGCUGAGGUACGAAAGCAUGGGGAGCAAACAGGAUUAGAUACCCGCGUAGUCCCUGUCUCUUAUAC
rnacentral:rRNA from 1 species